CCUACGGGAGGCAGCAGUAGGGAAUAUUGGUCAAUGGGGGAAACCCUGAAGCAGCAACGCCGCGUGGAGGAUGAAGGUUUUCCGAUUGUAAACCCGUUUUGUUAGAGAAGAUACUGACGGUAUCUGACGAGUAAUCACCGGCUAACUUCGUGCCGGCAGCGGCUGUAAUACGGAGGGUGCAAGCGUUACUCGGAAUCACUGGGCGUAAAGAGCGCGUAGGCGGGAUAGCAAGUCAGAUGUGAAAUGCUAUGGCUUAACCAGAGAACUGCAGUCGAAACUGGUGUUCUAGAGUAUGGGAGAGGUAGGUGGAAUUCUUGGUGUAGGGGUAAAAUCCGUAGAGAGCAAGAGGAAUACUCAUUGCGAAGGCGACCUGCUAGAACAUAACUGACGCUGAUGCGCGAAAGCGUGGGGAGCAAACAGGAUUAGAUACCCCUGUAGUC
rnacentral:rRNA from 1 species